rnacentral:rRNA from 1 species
AUUGAACGCUGGCGGCAGGCCUAACACAUGCAAGUCGAACGAGUGGCGGACGGGUGAGUAAUGUCUGGGAAACUGCCUGAUGGAGGGGGAUAACUACUGGAAACGGUAGCUAAUACCGCAUACCAUCGGAUGUGCCCAGAUGGGAUGAGCUAGUAGGUGGGGUAACGGCUCACCUAAGCGACGAUCCCUAGCUGGUCUGAGAGGAUGACAAGCCACACGGGAACUGAGAAACGGUCCAGACUCCUACGGGAGGCAGCAGUGGGGAAGAUUGCACAAUGGGCGCAAGCCUGAUGCAGCCAUGCCGCGUGUAUGAAGAAGGCCUUCGGGUUGUAAAGUACUUUCAGCGGGGAGGCGUUACCCGCAGAAGAAGCACCGGCUAACGCCGUGCCAGCAGCCGCGGUGAUAC